CGUGACUUCUUCUUCUUCUCACUUCUUGAUUUCCCAAAUUGGAAACCCUUGUGGAAGAAGAACCAGCGGCAUCUACGCCGCCUGCCUUGCUCCUCUCCCCUAGGCGAAGUCGUCCUCCGGUGUCUCCGGAGUACCCUGGCAAUUUCUCCCUUCGCUAACCCAUCGGAGGACUCUCUUUCUCUCAUUUCUAACCCAUCGCAGGACCGCUGCCGUUCCCGGCUUCUCGCUGCCACCAGGCCGCCGUCGAGCCGCGGCUCUGUCCGUGAGCCACGCCGUUUCGUCGGCCAGCAGCUAAGUGUUAACCCCUCUCCAUAACUCUCUACAUUACGCAUCUACAAAGUUCUAUUCUUUCAUAUCUUCUUGUUUUAUUGUAGUGUUAGAGGAGAAAAGGGGUUUCAGUUUUUGCAUUUGAGAGGGAUUUAAGUGUUACGCUACUGUUCUUGUUCCUUAGCUGAUUUGGGGCCUAUGUAACUGCUAAAUAAAAAUCAAACGAUAUUUAUAAAAUCUGGCAGCAGCUAUGUGGUAAAAUUGUUUCCAAUAUUCUCUUAAGGUGCCGAUUUUAAGAGCUUAAAAUUGUUUUCAACUCAAAGCUAAGGUGUAACUGUUAGCUAUGAAAUUCUUGUAUAAAUCGGAAACAUGUAAGCUACUAACUUGCACAACUAUGCUGGGUUUACUUAUUCUCGUGUAUUCAUGCUUUCAUGUUUCUAUGAAUAUGGUGGGGAAGAGAGGGUGUUAUACCUCUUGAAGCAGUUACUGACUUGGUAUUUGUUGUAAGAAACAAAGUUUGCCCUCCUCCUUUAGAGUUCCUAGUUGCAGUGACAAAGAAAGGGGUGAAACUGAGUUCUCUUUUUUUUGAAUGAAGAGAAAUUCGUGGAAAUGAGGAAGGAGGAAGAGAGGUUACCUAUGGGAUGCAGGGCUGCCUGCAAGAAGCUCUUCCUGCUGCGAAGAGAACUCACUCACUCACUACUCUCUCAAGCUUGGGAGAGCAGGUGGCUGUUAGGAACAGGCACGGCUGACUUUGCCAUUUUUAGGCAAGACUCAUUUUCACCUUUGAAAAGGGGAAAAACUGACCAUCUUCGGCUGCCACCAUGCUGAUUCGGGCCCGUCGGGAUCGGGCUGCGAUUCGGUCCUAAAGAAGAGGCCCGAAGUGCUCAUUAGACAUCUUACAUUCCGUUUCUUUACUUCGUGUAGUUUAUUUGGAAUUAGUUGAUAGUUCAUCGUGUAAAAGAUAUUCGAACACCUUUAGUCCGAAAUAAAUUUCUUGUUUCCCCUCUUUUAUAAACA